rnacentral:rRNA from 1 species
UACGUAGGGUCCGAGCGUUGUCCGGAAUUACUGGGCGUAAAGAGCGCGCAGGCGGUCGAUCAAGUCGAGUGUGAAAGCCCCCGGCUCAACUGGGGAGGGUCAUUCGAUACUGAUCGACUCGAAGGCAGGAGAGGGUAGUGGAAUUCCCGGUGUAGUGGUGAAAUGCGUAGAUAUCGGGAGGAACACCAGUGGCGAAGGCGACUACCUGGCCUGUUCUUGACGCUGAGGCGCGAAAGCUAGGGGAGCAAACGGG